CGUAUUCUUUUUAAAAUUUUGAGACAGGGGAGGCGUAGGACGCGGCAGUCUCAGCGGAGGCAGAAGCGCGCCGGCGGGCGUGGAGCCCACGGGUCCUGGGGUACCGGGUUCCCCUGACGCCCCGCCCGCAAGCUCUGCUGCGCGGGAUGAGCCCCGCUGGAGCCGCCGGCGCCUGGAAUGAACAGACCAUCUGACAGAGAGAGUUGCUCUGAUGGUUUAGGGGGGUGAGGAUGCCAAGAAGAAGCGGGCGUUGGCCGGGGCUCCUCAGAGUUCAGCAUAGUCCGGUUCCAGAGUGGUGAGCGAGAAGAGCCAGGACCGUCAGGUCGUCGUGAUAAAUUUUCCUGAAGGGUUGACAUCCAGUCAAGCUACACAGACCGUGCACCAGGGCAAGAUGCCAAACACGUGUAUGGCCUCCUCGUUGACAGCAAGGACGAUGCAGGGAUGGCUGCAACUGCCACAAUGCAAACCUUACAAGUGCUGAAUCCACAGACCAGGGCCAUUGCCUGAGAAAUUUCCACAGACGGUAGCUGAAAGGAGGCGAGAGAGAAAAGUUUUUCACUGAUGGCCACUCGACCUGAGAAACAAGAGGGCAGGUCUCACAGAGUAACCAUGGCAGUACUGCCUUGUCCCACCUCCUGCUUCUCUCUCCAGCAGGACGCAGAGUAGGACAUCCUGGGGUCGGGAGACAGCGGAUCGGGAAUGGAGGCAGAACCCCAGGAAGGCAUUCUCCAAAUCCACCCCAUCCUGCUGCCAGGAUGUGAUGCCUCACAACAGGCCCAAAAGCAAUGGGAACAAUCAACCAUGGACUGAACCUCCAAAACUGUGAUCUAAAAUAAGCCUUUCUCUUUGUUCCUGGAAUUUGAUCUCUAUCAGUUGCUGUCAUGUGCACCAAAGUAUGCUGCCCAGCACCCGUAGACUGCUCUCAGAAACUUCCAGCAUCAGCAUCCUGCCAGAGAGCAGCAGGAGAGACAGCAGGAGGACCUCUUGUCUUGCACCUUCACCACCAAUGUAAGCUAGGCACAGCAGGGUGGGCGGGCACUUGACACUGCUUCCGGCUGAGCUCAGGUUGCUGAGUUUCCUCUUCUUAGGGGUGUGUGUAUGUGGCAGACCGAUGAGACCUACUAGAAAUGAAAGGGGACUCUGUGCAUUGCCACUGAGACUAGACCUAGACAAGGAGUUUCUUUUUCCAUUGCAAAAAUCCAAACCCAAACAGGAAGCAGUUACACUGAGGGAAAGGGCAGAGGUGACAAUAAUCUGGCUCGACUGUCUGAUGCAGAGAAGUGGAAGUUCACAUGGAGGAAAUGUUUUGUGUUCACAGAAAGAUUGAUGAUUAGAACUUAAAUCAUGUGUACAGAAAGCAGAAUUUCGGGUCGGGGAUUUAGCUCAGUGGCAAAUCAUCUGCCUUGCAAGCACAAGGUCCUGAGUUAGAUCCCUGGUUCCACAAAAAGAAGCAAGCAAGCAAGCAAGCAAGCAGAUUUUCCAAGCUAACUCUGGGCAGUUGCCAUUACACUGUGUAUGUUCAUGGCUCUAGUAUCAUAUGCACUAAAAUGUGUCUGUCUCUGCCCGGGCAGCAAUCUGCAGGAUUUGUUAAGAGGUUUAGUGUUGGAUGGCCUGCUGCACUUGAGUCUGUUUGAAGAUGGGCUGGUAUUUGCGUGUUUGAUUUUUUUAGACCCCAUUGUCCUUGCCCUUUAGUGUCGACAGGGUCAUUCCUUGAACAUGGCUGUAGAAUAUACUGGCCUUUUUCUGUGUUCUGUGUAAUAUGUUCUAUCAAAAGUAUUGGUUUGGAGGUUUCCAGAUUUUUUUUCUUUCCAAGGAGUUUCUUAAAAAGGUGUCUGCUUUUUGUUUUUGU